UUAUGCCCCCCUUCGAAGAAGAGGGGGUAUAUUGCUUUGCUCAUGUCGGUCUGUCGGUCGGUCUGUCGGUCCGUCCACCAGGUGGUUGUCAGACGAUAACUCAAGAACGCUUGGGCCUAGGAUCAUGAAACUUCAUAGGUUCAUUGAUCAUGACUCGCAGAUGACCCCUAUUGAUUUUGAGGUCACUAGGUCAAAGGUCAAGGUCACGGUGACCCAAAAUAGUAAAAUGGUUUCCGGAUGAUAACUCAAGAACGCUUAGGCCUAGGAUCAUGAAACUUGAUAGGUAGAUUGAUCAUAACUCGCAGAUGACCCCUAUUGAUUUUCAGGUCACUAGGUCAAAGGUCAAGGUCACAGUGACCCGAAAUAGUAAAAUGGUUUCCGGAUGAUAACUCAAGAACGCUUAGGCCUAGGAUCAUGAAACUUGAUAGGUAGAUUGAUCAUGACUCGCAGAUGACCCCUAUUGAUUUUCAGGUCACUAGGUCAAAGGUCAAGGUCACGAUGACCCGAAAUAGUAAAAUGGUUUCCGGAUGAUAACUGAAGAACGCUUAUUCCUAGGAUCAUGAAACUUGAUAGGUAGAAUGAUCAUGACUCGCAGAUGACCCCUAUUGAUUUUCAGGUCACUAGGUCAAAGGUCAAGGUCACAGUGAC